AAAAGAAAGAUGUUGUAACCCUGACCCUCAAGCCCAGCUUCCUUUCCUAACAAUGUGGGGGAGGAACCCAGGCUGGAGGAGAAGUUAAAGCCAGAAGAGGGGCAGGAAUGUCUGAGGUGGCAACACUUCUCUCCAGCCAGACAGCACUGGCCAGUUUGAAGUCUGUCCAUCCUGCAGGCCACAAGCUCUGGAUGAGGAACUUGAGGCGCAUCACUAGCCCCUGAUCAUUUCACCUAAAAGAGCAAGGACGAGAGUUCCUGACCUCCAGGCCAGUCCCUGAUCCCUGACCUAAUGU